rnacentral:rRNA from 1 species
GAUGAACGCUGGCGGCGUGCCUAAUACAUGCAAGUCGAGCGAACGGACGAGAAGCUUGCUUUUCUGAUGUUAGCGGCGGACGGGUGAGUAACACGUGGAUAACCUACCUAUAAGACUGGGAUAACUUCGGGAAACCGGAGCUAAUACCGGAUAAUAUUUUGAACCGCAUGGUUCAAAAGUGAAAGACGGUCUUGCUGGAACUUAUAGAUGGAUCCGCGCUGCAUUAGCUAGUUGGUAAGGUAACGGCUUACCAAGGCAACGAUGCAUAGCCGACCUGAGAGGGUGAUCGGCCACACUGGAACUGAGACACGGUCCAGACUCCUACGGGAGGCAGCAGUAGGGAAUCUUCCGCAAUGGGCGAAAGCCUGACGGAGCAACGCCGCGUGAGUGAUGAAGGUCUUCGGAUCGUAAAACUCUGUUAUUAGGGAAGAACAUAUGUGUAAGUAACUGUGCACAUCUUGACGGUACCUAAUCAGAAAGCCACGGCUAACUACAUG